GUGAAUCAUCAAAUCUUUGAACGCAAAUUGCACUCUCUGGCAUUCCGGAGAGUAUGCCUGUUUGAGGGUCAGUUUAAAUAAAAAUCGAGGUAUUGCUUUUUUGUCACCCUUCGGAAUUGGGUUAGCUUUGACCUUUUAAAAAUUUUAAGUUACCUAAAAUUGAUACCUUUUGCAUCUCAGACGUUCAUUAGAAUAUUUUUUUAUCCGUCCGUAGUUUCCAACUUUUUAUUAGGUAUGACCAUGCUGUUUGUAGCAUCGUACCUAUAAUAUCCUCAUAUUUUUACCUCAAAUCAGGUAGC
rnacentral:misc_RNA from 1 species